rnacentral:misc_RNA from 1 species
GAUGAAGAACGUAGCGAAAUGCGAUAAGUAAUGUGAAUUGCAGAAUUCAGUGAAUCAUCGAAUCUUUGAACGCACCUUGCGCUCUUUGGUAUUCCGAAGAGCAUGCCUGUUUGAGUGUCAUGAAAAUAUCAACCUUGACUUGGGUUUUGUGCUCUAGUCUCGGCUUGGAAUUGGGUGCUUGCCGCUCUUACGAGCGGCUCACCUUAAAUGUAUUAGCUGGAUCUGUCUUUGAGACUUGGUUUGACUUGGCGUAAUAAGUAUUUCGCUAAGGACAUUCUUCGGAGUGGCCUCGUUUCUAGGACGCUUGUCCGCUUUCCAAUACAAGUUCCACCUCGUGGACAUGACUUUUUAUUAUCUGGCCUCAAAUCAGGUAGGACUACCCGCUGAACUUAAGCAUAUCAAUAAGCGGAGGA